UGAGUACGAGAUGCUACGGCAUCGAAGCAGUCUAUGUCAUACUUCCAAGAAAAGCUUGCACUGUCAUAAACAAAGAAUGCCUGUACCAUAACCGACACAGGUGGGUAGGUAGAGUAUACUAAGGGGCGCGAGAUAACUCUCUCUAAGGAACUCGGCAAAAUGACUCCGUAACUUCGGGAGAAGGAGUGCCUUAUUUCUAAGGUUGCAAUAACAAGAUCCAAGCAACUGUUUACCAAAAACACAGGUCUCCGCUAAGUCGUAAGACGAUGUAUGGGGGCUGACGCCUGCCCAGUGCCAGAAGGUUAAAGAAGUUGGUUAGCAUUAGCGAAGCUGAUAACUGAAGCCCUGGUGAACGGCGGCCGUAACGAUAACGGUCCUAAGGUAGCGAAAUUCCUUGUCGGGUAAGUUCCGACCCGCACGAAAGGCGUAAUGAUUUGGAUACUGUCUCGGAGAGGGGCUCGGUGAAAUAGACUUGUCUGUGAAGAUGCGGACUACCUGCACCUGGACAGAAAGACCCUAUGAAGCUUUACUGUAACUUGAGAUUGAAAUUGGACUUUACUUGCGCAGUAUAGGUGGGAGGCGUUGAGAAUAAUCUUGCGGGAUUGUUGGAGCCAUCAGUGAGAUACCACUCUUGUAAUGUUAGAUUUCUAACUUUGUAUCAUUAUCUGGUCAAAGAACAGUUUCAGGCGGGCAGUUUGACUGGGGCGGUCGCCUCCCAAAGGGUAACGGAGGCGCGCAAAGGUUUCCUCUGAACGGAUAGAAAUCGUAUCUAGAGUGUAAAGGCAUAAGGAAGCUUGACUGUGAGACCUACAAGUCGAGCAGGGACGAAAGUCGGUCUUAGUGAUCUGACGGUGCUGAGUGGAAAGGCCGUCACUCAACGGAUAAAAGUUACUCUAGGAUAACAGGCUGAUCUCCCCCAAGAGUUCACAUCGACGGGGAGGUUUGGCACCUCGAUGUCGGCUCAUCGCAUCCUGGGGCGGUAGUCCGUCCCAAGGGUUGGGCUGUUCGCCCAUGAAAGCGGUACGCGAGCUGGGUUCAGAACGUCGUGAGACAGUUCGGUCCAUAUCCGGUGUAGGCGUUAGAAUAUUGAGAGGAGCCUUCUCUAGUACGAGAGGACCGAGAAGGACAUACCUCUGGUGUACCAGUUAUCGUGCCAACGGUAAACGCUGGGUAGCUAUGUAUGGAGUGGAUAACCGCUGAAAGCAUCUAAGUGGGAAGCCCACCUCAAGAUAAG
rnacentral:rRNA from 1 species